AAAAAGCAAAGAAAAGAAAAAGGGCUGUUUCAAAACAUUUGGGCCUGAUUUCCAUGACCCAAUUCUCUCCCAAUCCGCCCCAGUCAGAACCUUUAACCCGGUCCAGCACCCCUAAUUAAUAAAACGACUCCAUUUUGGUGAUGGUCAAUCAUGGUCGUUCAUUUUCCUCCAUCAAACAACCAGGAACUAGGCUUUAAUUCCCUUAAAAGUGUCUGAAACACCCCUAACCCCAAAGACCCCCCUUACUCCGUCUCUUUCACCUCUCUUUUACCCCUCUAAACCAUCGCCGCUGGCCACCGCCGAAAAUCGCUCACGGCGGCGGACGCCACUCCAAACAGCCCCAUUUUGUUUCGGUUUUCGGCGGCCGCCGCCACUCCAAACAACCCCAUUUUCUCACCAGACAACCACCACACUCCUCUUAUCUCAUAUUUCCUUUCAAUUCCAUCAGAAACCCCACCAAAAUUAGUGAAUUUUAGAUGUAAAUUUCCAGAAAAAUCCUAGUUUGACCUUUGUCAAAUUACUUGGGGUAUUUUGUUCGUUUUGGGUUGAGACUCACUUUAAUCAAUCAUUUGCAUUAGUUUUGACCAAUUUCGAAGUCACCGGACUCCGGCCAACUCACCACUGGCUGGCCGAGCUUCAUCGAAAAAGGCUUUCAUGGCUUUGUUUCUCUUUCAAUAGGUCCAUCACCACUACUUCUGUACACACAUAAGGGUGCGACUGUGACUCAUGGGUUUAAUUUAAAAUCAAAGGCGUGUAGUGAUGAUGAGUUUAGCAUUCAAGGUUCAUUUGUUGUAAUAUUGUUCAAGAAAAUAAAAAAUAAAAAAUAGAAGGUGCUUGGGUUCAUAGACUUGUCUGUUAAUAUGAGUGAAGAUUUGAAAUAAUUUUCUUUGUUCUUUUCAGUAACAUAGUGUUUUAGUUCGAAGUAUUCAUGUAUUAAUGUUUAAGAAAGUCUGUAAUUAAUGGUUUAUUUCUGACAUUUUCAAAUUAUGUUGAGAAGCCAUGUUGAUUAA